UACGGGGGGUGCAAGCGUUGUUCGGAAUUACUGGGCGUAAAGGGUGCGUAGGCGGCUCUCUAAGUCGGAUGUGAAAACUCUGGGCUCAACCCAGAGCCUGCAUCCGAAACUGGAGGGCUUGGGUUCUGGAGGGGAAAGCGGAAUUCCUGGUGUAGCGGUGAAAUGCGUAGAUAUCAGGAGGAACACCGGUGGCGAAGGCGGCUUUCUGGACAGAUACCGACGCUGAGGCACGAAAGCUAGGGGAGCAAACAGG
rnacentral:rRNA from 1 species